rnacentral:rRNA from 1 species
ACUCCUACGGGAGGCAGCAGUGGGGAAUAUUGGACAAUGGGCGAAAGCCUGAUCCAGCCAUGCCGCGUGUGUGAAGAAGGUCUUCGGAUUGUAAAGCACUUUAAGUUGGGAGGAAGGACAGUAAGCUAAUACCUUGCUGUUUAGACGUUACCGACAGAAUAAGCACCGGCUAACUUCGUGCCAGCAGCCGCGGUAAU